rnacentral:lncRNA from 1 species
GGGCCGCUCCCGGCAUAUGGAGGUUCCCAGGCUAGGGGUCGAAUCGGAGCUGUAGCUGCCAGCCUAUGCCAGAGCCACAGCAACGCAGAAUCCGAGCCGCAUCUGCGACCUACACCACAGUUCAUGGCAGUGCCGGAUCUUUAACCCACUGAGCGAGGCCAGGAAUUGAACCCACAACCUCAUCGUUCCUAGUCAGAUCUGUUAACCACUGAGCCACGAUGGGAACUCCUAUAAUUUUUCAAUAAUAGAGAUUAUAAUGCCAAGAUAGCAUUUCUCCAAUGAUGUAUUUAUUUCACAUCUUAAUUUCUACCAUGCUACAAGUAACAUUUUCCCAAUGAAUAUUGGUUGGGAUCAUGAAGAAUAUCUUGACGCACUAGUGAAUUACUGGGCUUUUGUACAGACCCAGCUGAGUGAAGAACAAUUCUGGUGGCUCUGUCAAUUUUGCCAGUUUAUUUUCAGCCCAGGAUUGUAUCUUAUGCAAAAUUUAAGGAUGGGGAGGUGGGAAGUUCAGGUGAGCACAAUGCUACAGGGGAGAAAACAGAGAGAAUCUUGGACCCAAUCUGAUCAAACUUCUAGGUAUAACUCCCAGUUUAUAUAAAAUACAGGAAAUAGAGAAAGAUGUUUGAUCGUUCCGUAAACAUGGAACAAUCAAAAUCUAGAGUGUGGGGAAAAACAGGAUAAAUGACACAAUUUUGUCAACAAAGAAACUGAUAUAAAAGAAAAAAAAGAAAAGAGUGACCAAUAAACUAAGAAGACUGGUAUAUACCAAAAAUAUGCAAGGAGAAAAACUUGAUAUUAAUUCAAAUAAAUCAAUUCUAAUAAAACAUUUAUGAGACAUCUGGUGAAAUGUGAACACUAAGUAUCUGAUUACAUUAGGAUGUGAUUAUUAAUAUUGGAAUGUUAAUGAUAUAUUGUUAUAUUUUGAAGAGUUCUUACAUUCUGAAAUUUUUAAGGAUGGAAUGAUAUGAUUUCUAGGAAUUGUUUCAACAUUACCUGGAGUUAAAGUGGGUAGGGUUACAAAUGAAAUAAGAUUGCUACAAUUUGUUUAAGUUGGGUAAUGGGAACAGGGCAUUUACUACACUAACCUAUUUUUUGUUCAUAUUUUUUCAAAUUAAAGAAAUUAAAAAGUCAGGGAGCUAUAAAAAUGCAUUAGAGAAGUCAGUCACUCCAUGACAUAGAAAAUUACAUUAAAAUAUUUUGCCCAGUUUUAGUGUUUCUAGUUUUCCCAUUUUAAGUUAUGCAGAGUAGCUUGACUAUUUGUACUUCAUUUUAAGGAAGGCAAAAUUCGAGGAUGGAAAACUAACCUGGAGAGUUGUGCAAUCAGAGGUCAAAGAAGUUAAAAUCAUGGAGUCUGCCUUUCCACCAUGUGCUUUUAAUUUCUAUUAAUAUAAAAUCCAUAUUUCUUAUCAUGUCUAUAAGGAGUUAUCAUCUAUUAGUACUCACUGCACAAAUUGUCAGAAAAAUUUAUCUUCCCUGAUCAUCCUUCUAAUUCCUUUGUCAGGCUUUAUUUUUCCUCAUAGCACUUACCCCUAAAAUAAAUUAUGCUUGUGUAUUUCUGUUUAUUGGUCUUCUUAUUCUCCCUCCAGAAUGUAAUAUCCAUGAUGGCAGUAUUUUGCUUUGUUCAUGGUUGUAACCCUAGCAUUUAGAACAAAGGUUAGCCCAUAUUAGGCAUUGAAUAGAUACUUGCUGAAAAUGAAUUCUGAAAUUUAAACACAAGUAUCUGUAACGCAUAGUUACCUGGGCUUUGCUAGAAUUAUUUUUGUGAUGGGGGGCUCACAGCUUCAUCAAAUGUGUAUUCUGCUGUUGGAUAGCAGCCAGUUUUGGAAAGUGUUACCUCCAGAAUUAGGCUGAAUGUUUCUUCUGCUUUUCAUUCAUUGCUCUUAAUUCUCCCUUCAGGCACUGUAUGAACAUGCUACCAUAUGCUGUUGAAUAAGGAUGAACUCCUUUCAUCAGUGAAUGUUUGGCCAAGGCUGUCCUUUUGCUUGGAGCACCAGGAAUGCCGACUGGUGUUUAUUUGGGACCCAUAAGCAGUUAUCCCAAGUUGAGCUGCCAUGCUGGAGUGCUGACAGAACCUAGUCUGCUGUCCACUUAUUCUAUGGCUCUCUUUCUUCCUCUGGCUCUACUGUGUCAGGGGUGGGUAGAAUUGUUUUGAAAACCCUUGAAACAGAAGGGAAUGAUUGAAUCUCAUUUCCCAGAGAGGAGAGCUCUCCACCACUGAAGUCAGAUUUUAUAACACAGGAUCCAAGCAGAGUCUGCGACCUAUAUCAGAGCUCACAAUGCCAGAUCCUUAAUCCACUGAGAGAAGCCAGAACUGAACCCACAUCCUCAUGGAUCUUAGUCAGGUUUAUUUCUGCUGAGUCACAACAGGAACUGCAUAUUCACGUCUCCUUAUAUCCAUUCUAUAAAAAAGGGCCAUUUGUCACCAUGGUUGAAGAAUCCAGACAGGACUAAGGUGAGCAGGAUUAGAAAUCUGCUACUAAUUUACUGUUAGUAAAAUCAGAGCUAUGUAAUAAAUAGAAAUUCAUAAAUAGGGUUCAUAUAAACAAUGUGUUUUAGAAAAAAAAAAGUCACGUUUAGUUUCUAAUAAAUUUUCAGAAUAUUUGGAACUUUCCAGAAUGUUUGAGAAAUACCCCAUCAAGUUUUUUGAGUAGUGGAAGGAUAGAUUUGUUUCACCAACUUGUUGCAUAAGAAAAAUAUGUCAACCAAAGGGUACUCUGGGAUUACUGCAUUUGUACUAAAAUAAACAGAUUAAUGCUUAGUUGACUUUUUUUUUUAAAGCAUAGAUAUACAAGUUUCACCUACCUAGCUGAUGUUUCUAAAAAGAAAUUUCCUAAAAGUUUUUAUCAAUAAAGCAAACAAUUUUUCAUUGUCACAUGAAUGAAGAAAGAAGAAACAAAAACAGAAUUUUUGAGUAGCUCCAAAUUGUUUCAGGAAAUGUAUUAUGUAUUUAAUUUCUUUUGUCAUAACAGCUCCAAAAUAGAUAUACAAUCUCUAUUACACAAAUAAGGAAACCUUAAUUAAGGUAUGCAGUUUGCCAAUGGCCACAUAAAUAAUUAAUGGUGAAUUUAGGUUCGAACCUGGUUCUAAUUAAUUCCAUUAUAAUAUGUUUCCACAUUAGCGUAUUUAGGGGGCUAUUAAAGACGAGCAUUUUCAGUAUAAUAUGUUCCUUGCUUUAAGAGAAUCAGGAGUAACUAAAAUUAAUAAUAACAAGUUUUUGUGUUAGUGUAUGUGUCUUUCUUUGAUGAAUU